rnacentral:misc_RNA from 1 species
GUGAAUCAUCGAAUCUUUGAACGCAAAUUGCACUCUCUUCGGAGAGUAUGCCUGUUUGAGUGUCAGCCUAAAGAAAAAUCGACAUUGUCGCUUUUUCGCAUUGACAUUCUUCUGAAAUUGGAUCAUCUUAAACCUUUUGGGUUUAAGCGGCUUAAAAUUUUCUUGACUAGUCCACGAAUGUUUCUAAGGUUUA